rnacentral:rRNA from 1 species
UACGUAGGGUGCGAGCGUUGUCCGGAAUUAUUGGGCGUAAAGGGCUCGUAGGCGGUUUGUCGCGUCGGGGAGUGAAAACCUUGGGCUUAACUCAGGGCUUGCUUUCGAUACGGGCAGACUAGAGGUAUGCAGGGGAGAACGGAAUUCCUGGUGUAGCGGUGAAAUGCGCAGAUAUCAGGAGGAACACCGGUGGCGAAGGCGGUUCUCUGGGCAUGAUCUGACGCUGAGGAGCGAAAGCCAGGGGAGCAAACAGG